rnacentral:rRNA from 1 species
UACGAAGGGGGCUAGCGUUGUUCGGAUUUACUGGGCGUAAAGCGCACGUAGGCGGAUCGUUAAGUCGGGGGUGAAAUCCUGGAGCUCAACUCCAGAACUGCCUUCGAUACUGGCGAUCUUGAGUCCGGAAGAGGUGAGUGGAACUCCUAGUGUAGAGGUGGAAUUCGUAGAUAUUAGGAAGAACACCAGUGGCGAAGGCGGCUCACUGGUCCGGUACUGACGCUGAGGUGCGAAGCGUGGGGAGCAAACAGG